UGCUGGGUAGAUCUUUAAGACCCAUAAGUAGGCACCAUUGUUUAAAGUUUUCUUUUGUCCAGGGGAUGGACACUGUUUGAGCUGAUUGAGUCUCUUCGUAUUCUUCGUCGACCAAAUCAGCCCAUUUCUUGGUGUUGAAAAUUAAAAUUGGAUUUGUAAUUUAUUGCAUUAUGAAAGAUUAUGGUAAUCCUGGCAUAGCAUAAUCAGCUGAGCUUUUUUGGAGGUCUCUUCGGGAGAUGGAAGAGCUGGAAUUUGUGGAGGUGGAGGUUCUUCGUUAUUUUUUCUGGGCAUCUUAUCUUCCCUGCUAGAAUUUUCUGAGGGAUCGAGGAGAGAUAUGCAAGGGAGGUCUUCUGCCUUUAAUUUGAUUUCUUUAACUACAUUGGUAUGAAUUUGAGUCCAUGAAGGAGGAGGCUUUUUCAACCUACCGUGGAGAGGUUUCAACAGAUUUUUGAGCCCGGAAUAAAAUCUUCUAUAUAAUUAACACAUCCUAAAAAUCGUUGAAGUUGAGUUUUAUUAAGAAUUUGAUCGAGAAAUUGACAGAAAUUGAAGUUAAGUCAAGUUUCACCAUUCAUAUUAAAGAUUUGAUAGUACCAUAUAAUAGCAAGUUAAAAACAAGAAUAAUAAUCUUUACUUCCCUCUAUGAGGAGUCGCCAUUGUUUAAAAUUUUCUUCUGUUCAGGGAACAAACACUAUUUGAGCUAAUUGAGUCUCUUCGUCUCCUUCGUUGAGUAAAUCAGCUUAUUUGUUGGUGUUAAACAUUGAAAUUAGACUUGUACUUGAUUGCAUUAUGAAAGAUUGUGGUAAUCCCGGCAUGACAUAAUCAACUGGGGGUUGAUAUCUUGGCUGAUUUAUGUCAGCUACUACAUUUGGUAGUUGCUUUGGCGCAACUGAAGUUUUUUGCUGUGGCAUAACAACAUUUUUGGUGGUCUCUUCUGGAGAUGGAAGGGUCAAAAUUUGUGGAGGUGGAGGUUCUUCUUUCUUUUUUCAGAGCAUCUUAUCUUCCCUGCAAGAAUUCCCUGGUAAGAAAAUCUGGUAAGGAUGUAAUCGUACUUACGCUUACAUCUUUCGUUAGUCCUGGAGUUAAGAAGCUUGAUAUCCUCAUGAUCUGAUUCAAGAGGGAUAGUUUGUUCGACAGUGGAAAUAUGGUAGUUACUUGUUAGAGACCGCCAUCUGAACGGAGCUUUGUAAGUUUGGUCUUGAGAAUGCCAGGGUAUUUGCCAAUCAUAAUUGAUUGCUACAAAUUAGAGAAACUAAUCUCUUCCUUGAGUUUUGAACU